AUGGCUGGAGGGAGAGGGGACAGAACAGAGACGGGGGGGGGGGUGGAGGGAGUUUGCAGUGCUUGGCUGGUAAGGGGGGGCCAGACCCUCAGUGCUGCUGGGUGCGGGGCGGGAGGGCUCUGGGAGGGUUUCCUGGGGGAUUGGGGUGGGCUGGGCCGGCUCAGGACUCCCCUCCUGCCCCCCCACCCGUGUGUGGACUUGGGCUCGCUCUGGGAGGAUUCCAGGAACGGCUCCUGCUCUGAUAAAAAUAGACUUCUCCGAAGGGCUUGGGGUCUUGCCAGCUGCAGCAGGUGCCCCCCAGGCCUGGCCAGAGUGGGGCCCCAGGCAAGGGGCGGGGCCCGUGUUGCCGGGGCUGGGUCUGCAGCCUGCGCAGCGCGGUCCCUGUCUUGGGUGCAGUAUCAAAGAGCUCGACGGGAAACUUUUAUCAUCUACGGAUGCGGACACAGCCUGGGGUCGUGGAAGCAGCUUGCUCAGAAGUCCUUUCUUCCAGAGGGCCAGGGUUGGCAAGAGGAGGGUCUUUGCAGCUCAGCAAAACUCAGCCCCAGCCAUGGUUCUUCUACUUCCUGGCUGGGUGACUUGGGCAAGUCACUCAACCUCUCUGACCUGCUGUGUUUUAUCAAUACAAUGUGGCUAAUGUGCCUUGUUCGUGGGAUGCAGCGUCAGAAGGGACAGACCCCCCGAAUGUGGUCAAGGUGGGAGGCUGGUGGUGGUGGGGUCAAGAGGUGCUGGCCGGAGGCACGAAGGGAUGGGCAGGCCACUUGGCUUGGUGCGAGUGGACCUGUAGGUGGACUCCUGCGGGGCCUUCCUGCCUGCUCGUCAGCUUGCCGUUGUGAGGAAGUGAGGGUCACAGGCAUGGCUGAUGCUCUCUGGGUGUAUGAGAGGGGAGAGCCCCGGAGGGGGCCGUGUUCUGGCCUGGGCCCCUGCCAGCACACCCCGCUCCCCCCCGGCCCUGCGGCUCUGACGGCUGAUUGCAGGGGCCAGGCUGGCUGGGAGCUGGGCUCAGAGCCGGGUUCCCAGCAAGGCGAGGCCUCCUGGGACCCUGUGUGCUGGGGGAUCUAUCCACCCUGCCCCACCUCUUCCGAGGGCGCCUGGGCUGGCCGGGGCAGGUACAGCAUUGACUGUGAUGCCAGGCUCCACUCCUGA
rnacentral:lncRNA from 1 species